ACGCGGCCGCCCACCCGCCCUCUCGCGGCGGGCUCCUGCGCGGCUGCUCUUCCCCGGUCGGACGGAGAGCGGCAGUGUGUCCUCGCUCCGCACGCUCGCUGCGUCUCCCCCACCCCCGCCCCGCGGACACAGCUGCUCGCCAGCCCCGCGCCGCGCCGCGCCGCGCCGGAGAGCGUAGUGGCUGGCGGCGGCGGGAAAGGGUUGCGGACCCGCGGCGCUUACUCGACGACACGGCCCGGGGGCUUCGACGCCCCGCUCCCGCAGCAGGUACUUUAUUUGUGGGAAAGAGAUUACGGACCUGAAUAUUGCAGGUGCUGAGAUGUAAGAAGACUGCUGUAGAGUCGCAGAUGACAAUCUUUGGCCUUCCUAAUCACAUGAGUAUUGUCAAUGCCAGCCAGACAGCACAUGUGGCUGAUGGCUGUCAUUACUGGAAGGUGAAGGGAGCUAUGACCCAAAUGUAAUUGAAAGGGAAAUAUUUUAGUUUUGGAAGUCAGAAUGCCAAGGAAAAGGAAAAAUCUUGGGGGAAAUCCUUUGCGGAAGACUGCAAACUCUAAGAAAAUUGUCGUAUCCCGUGUUGCUAGUCGUGAGGAGCCAACCACUACUCUUCCUUCCGUGUGUGAGA
rnacentral:lncRNA from 1 species